rnacentral:rRNA from 1 species
GAUGAACGCUGGCGGCGUGCCUAAUACAUGCAAGUCGAGCGAAUGGAUUAAGAGCUUGCUCUUAUGAAGUUAGCGGCGGACGGGUGAGUAACACGUGGGUAACCUGCCCAUAAGACUGGGAUAACUCCGGGAAACCGGGGCUAAUACCGGAUAACAUUUUGAACCGCAUGGUUCGAAAUUGAAAGGCGGCUUCGGCUGUCACUUAUGGAUGGACCCGCGCCGCAUUAGCUAGUUGGUGAGGUAACGGCUCACCAAGUCAACGAUGCGUAGCUGACCUGAGAGGGUGAUCGGCCACACUGGGACUGAGAACCGGCCAAGACUCCUACGGGAGGCAGCAGUAGGGAAUCUUCCGCAAUGGACGAAAGUCUGACGGAGCAACGCCGCGUGAGUGAUGAAGGCUUUCGGGUCGUAAAGCUCUGUUGUUAGGGAAGAACAAGUGCUAGUUGAAUAAGCUGGCACCUUGACGGUACCUAACCAGAAAGCCACGGCUAACUACGUGCCAGCCGCCGCAGUAA